rnacentral:rRNA from 1 species
CCUCAAAUCAGGUAGGACUACCCGCUGAACUUAAGCAUAUCAAUAAGCGGAGGAAAAGAAACUAACAAGGAUUCCCCUAGUAACUGCGAGUGAAGAGGGAAGAGCUCAAAUUUAAAAUCUGUCAGUCUUUGGCUGGCCGAGUUGUAAAUUAGAGAAGUGCCUAUCUGCGCUGGCCUGUGCAAAAGUCUCUUGGAAAAGGGCAUCAUAGAGGGUGACAAUCCCGUCUUUGGUACAGAGCUCCAGGGCUUCAUGAUGCGCUCUCGAUGAGUCGAGUUGUUUGGGAAUGCAGCUCUAAAUGGGUGGUAAAUUCCAUCUAAAGCUAAAUAUUGGCGAGAAACCGAUAGCGCACAAGUACCGUGAGGGAAAGAUGAAAAGAACUUUGAAAAGAGAGUUAAACAGUACGUGAAAUUGUUGAAAGGGAAACGCUUGAAGUCAGUCGUGUCCUUCAGAAAUCAACCUGACCUUGGUCUGGCUUACUUUCUGGUGGAUGGGCCAGCAUCAAUUUUGAUCAUUGGAUAAAGGCUUUGGGAAAGUGACAUCUCCGGAUGUGUUAUAGCCCUUGGUUCAUAUACAGUGGUUGGGAUUGAGGAACUCAGUGUGAACUUGGGGCUUUGGCCUACAACACGCACUUAGGAUGCUGGCAUAAU